UAAACGACUAACAAUAAGGAGCG
rnacentral:siRNA from 1 species